AGUGAACGCUGGCGGCGUGCUUAACACAUGCAAGUCGAACGAGAACGGAAUAUAGCUUGCUAUAUUUGUCAGCUAAGUGGCGCACGGGUGAGUAAUGUAUAGAUAACCUGCCCUUAAGAAAGGAAUAACAGUUGGAAACGACUGCUAAUGCCCUAUAUGCCUUUAAUGCAUAAGUAUGCAAGGGAAACGCUUUAGUGCUUAAGGAUGGGUCUGUAUGGUAUCAGCUUGUUGGUGAGGUAAUGGCUCACCAAGGCUAUGACGCCUAACUGGUUUGAGAGGAUGAUCAGUCACACGGGAACUGAGACACGGUCCAGACUCCUACGGGAGGCAGCAGUGGGGAAUAUUGCACAAUGGACGAAAGUUUGAUGCAGCAACGCCGCGUGGAGGAUGACACAUUUCGGUGCGUGAACUCCUUUUAUAUAGGAAGAUAAUGACGGUACUAUAUGAAUAAGCACCGGCUAACUCCGUGCCAGCCGCCGCCGUAA
rnacentral:rRNA from 1 species